GGGAAUAUUGCACAAUGGGGGGAACCCUGAUGCAGCGACGCCGCGUGGGUGAGGAAGUACUUCGGUAUGUAAAGCCCUAUUAGCAGGGAAGAAAAUGACGGUACCUGAUUAAGAAGCCCCGGCUAACUACGUGCCAGCCGCCGCGGUAAUACGUAGGGGGCAAGCGUUAACCGGAUUUACUGGGUGUAAAGGGAGCGUAGACGGCAGAACAAGUCUGGAGUGAAAUGCCGGGGCUUAACCCCGGAACUGCUUUGGAAACUGUGCAGCUAGAGUGCAGGAGAGGUAAGUGGAAUUCCUAGUGUAGCGGUGAAAUGCGUAGAUAUUAGGAGGAACACCAGUGGCGAAGGCGGCUUACUGGACUGUAACUUACGUUGAGGCUCGAAAGCGUGGGGAGCAAACA
rnacentral:rRNA from 1 species